rnacentral:rRNA from 1 species
AGGAAGCGAACGAAGCUAGUGAACGCUGCGUCAUACUUUCCAACUUGCUUGCAAUUUGGACGCUGUGGCCAGCCCAGUUGGGCUUGACUGYGWCUGGUGAAAACUGGCAACGAAAAGACUCCAUUUUCAAGCGC